CUGGAAUGGCUUAUGGUCUAAACAGUUUACUGCCAUGGGAUGGGACUGCGGCCUAUCAGCUUGUUGGUGAGGUAAUGGCCCACCAAGGCUAUAACAGGUACGGGCUCUGAGAGGAGAAACCCGGAGAUGGGUACUGAGACACGGACCCAGGCCCUAUGGGGCGCAGCAGGCGAGAAACCUUAGCAAUGUGCGAAAGCACGACUGGGUCAGUCCGAGUGAUUCCUGAUAAAGGAGUCUUUUAUCUGUCCUAAAAGCACAGGUGAAUAAGGGGUGGGCAAGUCUGGUGUCAGCCGCCGCGGUAAUACCAGCACCUCGAGUGGUCAGGACGUUUAUUGGGCCUAAAGCAUCCGUAGCCGGCUUUGCAAGUCUUCGGUUAAAUCCACCUGCUCAACAGAUGGGCUGCUGGAGAUACUACAAAGCUAGGGAGUGGGAGAGGCAGACGGUAUUCAGUGGGUAGGGGUAAAAUCCUCUGAUCCAUCGAGGACCACCAGUGGCGAAGGCGGUCUGCCAGAACACGUUCGACGGUGAGGGAUGAAAGCUGGGGGAGCAAACCGGAUUAGAUACCCGGGUAGUCCCAGCUGUAAACGAUGCAAACUCGGUGAUGCAUUGGCUUAUGGCCAAUGCAGUGCCGCAGGGAAGCCGUUAAGUUUGCCGCCUGGGAAGUACGGACGCAAGUCUGAAACUUAAAGGAAUUGGCGGGGGAGCACCACAAGGGGUGAAGCCUGCGGUUCAAUUGGACUCAACGCCGGU
rnacentral:rRNA from 1 species